AGAGUUUGAUCCUGGCUCAGAUUGAACGCUGGCGGCAUGCCUUACACAUGCAAGUCGAACGGCAGCACGGGAGCAAUCCUGGUGGCGAGUGGCGAACGGGUGAGUAAUAUAUCGGAACGUGCCCAGUCGUGGGGGAUAACGUAGCGAAAGCUACGCUAAUACCGCAUACGACCUACGGAUGAAAGCGGGGGAUCGCAAGACCUCGCGCGAUUGGAGCGGCCGAUAUCAGAUUAGCUAGUUGGUGGGGUAAAAGCCCACCAAGGCGACGAUCUGUAGCUGGUCUGAGAGGACGACCAGCCACACUGGAACUGAGACACGGUCCAGACUCCUACGGGAGGCAGCAGUGGGGAAUUUUGGACAAUGGGCGCAAGCCUGAUCCAGCAAUGCCGCGUGCAGGAUGAAGGCCUUCGGGUUGUAAACUGCUUUUGUACGGAACGAAACGGCUCUUUCUAAUAAAGAGGGCUAAUGACGGUACCGUAAGAAUAAGCACCGGCUAACUACGUGCCAGCAGCCGCGGUAAUACGUAGGGUGCGAGCGUUAAUCGGAAUUACUGGGCGUAAAGCGUGCGCAGGCGGUUAUAUAAGACAGAUGUGAAAUCCCCGGGCUCAACCUGGGACCUGCAUUUGUGACUGUAUAGCUAGAGUACGGUAGUGGGGGAUGGAAUUCCGCGUGUAGCAGUGAAAUGCGUAGAUAUGCGGAGGAACACCGAUGGCGAAGGCAAUCCCCUGGACCUGUACUGACGCUCAUGCACGAAAGCGUGGGGAGCAAACAGGGUUAGAUACCCUGGUAGCCCACGCCCUAAACGAUGUCAACUGGUUGUUGGGUCUUCACUGACUCAGUAACGAAGCUAACGCGUGAAGUUGACCGCCUGGGGAGUACGGCCGCAAGGUUGAAACUCAAAGGAAUUGACGUGGACCCGCACAAGCGGUGGAUGAUGUGGUUUAAUUCGAUGCAACGCGAAAAACCUUACCCACCUUUGACAUGUACGGAAUUCGCCAGAGAUGGCUUAGUGCUCGAAAGAGAACCGUAACACAGGUGCUGCAUGGCUGUCGUCAGCUCGUGUCGUGAGAUGUUGGGUUAAGUCCCGCGACGAGCGCAACCCUUGUCAUUAGUUGCUACAUUUAGUUGGGCACUCUAAUGAGACUGCCGGUGACAAACCGGAGGAAGGUGGGGAUGACGUCAAGUCCUCAUGGCCCUUAUAGGUGGGUCUACACACGUCAUACAAUGGCUGGUACAAAGGGUUGCCAACCCGCGAGGGGGAGCUAAUCCCAUAAAGCCAGUCGUAGUCCGGAUCGCAGUCUGCAACUCGACUGCGUGAAGUCGGAAUCGCUAGUAAUCGUGGAUCAGAAUGUCACGGUGAAUACGUUCCCGGGUCUUGUACACACCGCCCGUCACACCAUGGGAGCGGGUUCUGCCAGAAGUAGUUAGCCUAACCGCAAGGAGGGCGAUUACCACGGCAGGGUUCGUGACUGGGGUGAAGUCGUAACAAGGUA
rnacentral:rRNA from 1 species